GACGAACGCUGGCGGCGUGCUUAACACAUGCAAGUCGAACGGAAAGGCCCUGCUUUUGUGGGGUGCUCGAGUGGCGAACGGGUGAGUAACACGUGAGUAACCUGCCCUUGACUUUGGGAUAACUUCAGGAAACUGGGGCUAAUACCGGAUAGGAGCUCCUGCUGCAUGGUGGGGGUUGGAAAGUUUCGGCGGUUGGGGAUGGACUCGCGGCUUAUCAGCUUGUUGGUGGGGUAGUGGCUUACCAAGGCUUUGACGGGUAGCCGGCCUGAGAGGGUGACCGGCCACAUUGGGACUGAGAUACGGCGCAGACUCCUACGGGAGGCAGCAGUGGGGAAGAUUGCACAAAGGGCGGAAGCCUGAUGCAGCAACGCCGCGUGCGGGAAGACGGCCUUCGGGUUGUAAACCGCUUUCGCAUGUGACGAAGAGUGAGUGACGGUAAUGUGUAAAGAAGCACCGGCUAACUACGUG
rnacentral:rRNA from 1 species